rnacentral:rRNA from 1 species
CUGAAACAGGGAGGUAGUGACAAUAAAUAACAAUGCCGGGCCUUUAUAGGUCUGGCAAUUGGAAUGAGAACAAUUUAAACCCCUUAUCGAGGAUCAAUUGGAGGGCAAGUCUGGUGCCAGCAGCCGCGGUAAUUCCAGCUCCAAUAGCGUAUAUUAAAGUUGUUGCAGUUAAAAAGCUCGUAGUUGGAUUUGUGGUGGUUCCUGAGGUCCAAAUUUUGGUACUAUCGGGCGCCGCCAUCCUUGGGUGGAACCUGUGUGGCAUUAGGUUGUCGUGCAGGGGAUGCCCAUCUUUUACUGUGAAAAAACUUAGAGUGUUCAAAGCAGGCUUACGCCGUUGAAUAUAUUAGCAUGGAAUAAUAAGAUAGGACCUCGGUGCUAUUUUGUUGGUUUGCGCACAGAGGUAAUGAUGAACAGGGACAGUUGGGGGUAUUUGUAUUUCGUUGUCAGAGGUGAAAUUCUUAGAUUUACGAAAGACAAACUACUGCGAAAGCAUUUACCAAGGAUGUUUUCAUUGAUC